UGCAAGUCGGACGGGAUUGAAGAGCUUGCUUUUCAUGAGAGUGGCGCACGGGUGCGUAACACGUAUGUAACCUACCCAUAUCAGGGGGAUAGCCUCUCGAAAGAGAGAUUAAGCCCGCAUAAAAUCACAGUACAGCAUUGUAUAAUGAUCAAAUAUUUAUAGGAUAUGGAUGGGCAUGCGGAACAUUAGCUAGUUGGUAAGGUAACGGCUUACCAAGGCUACGAUGUUUAGGGGAUCUGAGAGGAUGACCCCCCACACUGGUACUGAGACACGGACCAGACUCCUACGGGAGGCAGCAGUAAGGAAUAUUGGUCAAUGGGCGGAAGCCUGAACCAGCCAUGCCGCGUGCAGGAAGACGGCCCUAUGGGUUGUAAACUGCUUUUGCAGGGGAAUAAACCUACCAAUGUAUUGGUAGCUGAAUGUACUCUGAGAAUAAGGAUCGGCUAACUCCGUGCCAGCAGCCGCGGUAAUACGGAGGAUCCAAGCGUUAUCCGGAUUUAUUGGGUUUAAAGGGUGCGUAGGCGGCCUAUUAAGUCAGGGGUGAAAGACGGUAGCUUAACUAUCGCAGUGCCUUUGAUACUGAUGGGCUUGAAUGUACUUGAGGUAGGCGGAAUGUGACAAGUAGCGGUGAAAUGCAUAGAUAUGUCACAGAACACCAAUUGCGAAGGCAGCUUACUAAAGUAUGAUCGACGCUGAGGCACGAAAGCGUGGGGAUCAAACAGGAUUAGAUACCCUGGUAGUCCACGCCCUAAACGAUGAAUACUCGAUGUUGGCGAUAUACAGUCAGCGUCAAAGCGAAAGCGUUAAG
rnacentral:rRNA from 1 species